UAUCCUGCCCACUCCUGCCUGCUGGGAGGCUCAUUUCUUAUGACCCUCAGGAUGGAGAUGCCCCUGCUGCUCCUUGCCCUGUUCUCCUGUCUCACCUAUGCCGUCUCUGCAGUGACACUGGUGCAGUCUGGCCCAGGAGUGGCGAAGCCUGGAGAGACCCUCACCCUGACCUGCACGGUCUCUGGCGUCUCCAUCGCUGACAGCAGCUAUGAGUGGAACUGGAUCCGGCAGCCUGCUGAGAAAGGGCUGGAGUGGGUGGCGUAUAUACAUCCAUAUGGUGGGAGCACAUACUACAACCCAUCUCUCCAGAGCCAAACCACCAUCUCUGCAGACACAUCCAAAAACCAGCUCUCCUUGCAGCUGCGCUCCCUGGCAGCUGCAGAUACUGCCACAUAUUACUGUGCCAGGGAAACACACAGUGACACGGAGCAGGGCAGGGGCUGCACAACAAGGGGAAGCUAUUCUCUUACACACAUUUCAAGCCUUUUUGAGAGCAAAUUCCCUAUUAGAUCCUAA